CACGGUCUGUUGGUUUGAAAAGCACGUGCGCCGAGGAAAGUGAACAGAUCAAAAGACAACUCCAAGUGUACCUGGUCAAAACCCCGACUUUUAAAACCUAUAGAGCACUAACUUAGGCACAGCUUGAGUUUGCAAUAUGCGGUUUAUCACCAAGUCUUGGACUCCGAGCACCGAGCCGUUGGGAAACGGCGGCGAGGUCGAAAUGAAAGAGAGCAAUGGACAAGCGGUGGAGUUGAAGUUAACCUGACGGCUCAUUGCUGAUGCCAUAAACACACAGUAAUCGGUUUAUUCCCACUGGCAGGAUUCAAAAGGAAUCAAGCUCUACGUCAUUCCUUUCCGAUGUGGAUUCAGUUUACAAAUGCUCUCAGAUCCAAUGCCGUUAAUUUAUCAUUAUUCUUGAGUUAAUAAAUAAAUAAAUAAA